rnacentral:rRNA from 1 species
UACGUAGGGUGCAAGCGUUGUCCGGAAUUAUUGGGCGUAAAGAGCUCGUAGGCGGUCUGUCGCGUCUGCUGUGAAAACUCGGGGCUUAACCCCGGGCCUGCAGUGGGUACGGGCAGGCUGGAGUUCGGUAGGGGAGACUGGAAUUCCUGGUGUAGCGGUGAAAUGCGCAGAUAUCAGGAGGAACACCGGUGGCGAAGGCGGGUCUCUGGGCCGAUACUGACGCUGAGGAGCGAAAGCGUGGGGAGCGAACAGG